rnacentral:rRNA from 1 species
AUUGAACGCUGGCGGCAUGCCUUACACAUGCAAGUCGAACGGCAGCACGGGAGCAAUCCUGGUGGCGAGUGGCGAACGGGUGAGUAAUACAUCGGAACGUGCCCAGUAGUGGGGGAUAACCCGGCGAAAGCCGGACUAAUACCGCAUACGACCUACGGGUGAAAGCAGGGGAUCGCAAGACCUUGCGCUAUCGGAGCGGCCGAUGUCAGAUUAGCUAGUUGGUGGGGAAAGGCCUACCAAGGCGACGAUCUGUAGCUGGUCUGAGAGGACGACCAGCCACACUGGGACUGAGACACGGCCCAGACUCCUACGGGAGGCAGCAGUGGGGAAUUUUGGACAAUGGGCGCAAGCCUGAUCCAGCCAUGCCGCGUGCGGGAAGAAGG